AGUGAACGCUGGCGGUAGACCUAACACAUGCAAGUCGAACGGCAGCACAGGAGAGCUUGCUCUCUGGGUGGCGAGUGGCGGACGGGUGAGGAAUACAUCGGAAUCUACUCUGUCGUGGGGGAUAACGUAGGGAAACUUACGCUAAUACCGCAUACGACCUACGGGUGAAAGCAGGGGACCUUCGGGCCUUGCGCGAUUGAAUGAGCCGAUGUCGGAUUAGCUAGUUGGCGGGGUAAAGGCCCACCAAGGCGACGAUCCGUAGCUGGUCUGAGGGGAUGAUCAGCCACACUGGAACUGAGACACGGUCCAGACUCCUACGGGAGGCAGCAGUGGGGAAUAUUGGACAAUGGGCGCAAGCCUGAUCCAGCCAUACCGCGUGGGUGAAGAAGGCCUUCGGGUUGUAAAGCCCUUUUGUUGGGAAAGAAAUCCAGCUGGCUAAUACCCGGUUGGGAUGACGGUACCCAAAGAAUAAGCACCGGCUAACUUCGUGCCAGCAGCCGCCGCCG
rnacentral:rRNA from 1 species